GUCUAUUACGUUAAAUAUAUUUUUCUAGUAUUAUUUUAUAAGUGAAGAUAGACAGAAAAAUGAUGUUUACGAAAUAUUCUUAUUUCUUUUUCUUAUUACCUCUUUUUUACAGGUAAAAUCCAACGACCAAGUUGGAUUUUAAAUUGUUUGGUUACAAGUAAAUGUGUAAAUAAUGAAAUCAUAGACGUGAAUUUUGAAAAUAAAUUUAGUCUUAUAUUUGAAAAUAAAUUAUGUAAGUGGAAUACAAUACUACAGAAUGAUGAAAGUUUUGCAAUAAGAGUCGGAUCUUAUAUGGCAAUUUAUAUUUGUAAUUCAUUUGGAAAAACUGGUUACAAUUUUAUUAGAGAAGAAGAUUAUGAGCAAUGCCUUGAUAAAGCGCAGACGUGUUGUUGGUCAUAUACUGAUAAAAUUAAUAAUUUAAAGAUGACUAUGGGAAAUAUAAAACAGCUUAAUGAACAUUUUGUUAAAGAUGAAUUAAGUGAAGGAAAAGAAGAUUUACCAACAAUACUUGAAAAAGAAGACAUGAUUAUCGAAAUCAAAAGCGAACCGGAGUAAAAUGCUCAAAUCCCAACUAACCCAAGAUACCGAUGUUGUAGAUUUCAUUCAUUAGAUUGAAUGUUUAUAUUUUUAAUAAGUUUUAAAAAUAAUAUUGGAGAACUAUAGAUUU